rnacentral:rRNA from 1 species
UAUUGCACAAUGGGCGAAAGCCUGAUGCAGCGACGCCGCGUGAGGGAUGACGGCCUUCGGGUUGUAAACCUCUUUCAGUAGGGAACAAGGCCAGCUUUUUGGUUGGUUGAGGGUACUUGCAGAAGAAGCGCCGGCUAACUACGUGCCAGCAGCCGCGGUAAUACGUAGGGCGCAAGCGUUAUCCGGAAUUAUUGGGCGUAAAGAGCUCGUAGGCGGUUUGUCGCGUCUGCCGUGAAAGUCCGGGGCUCAACUCCGGAUCUGCGGUGGGUACGGGCAGACUAGAGUGAUGUAGGGGAGACUGGAAUUCCUGGUGUAGCGGUGAAAUGCGCAGAUAUCAGGAGGAACACCGAUGGCGAAGGCAGGUCUCUGGGCAUUAACUGACGCUGAGGAGCGAAAGCAUGGGGAGCGAACAGG